UAUCUCUCUCGAAAAAAAAACUUAUCCCCAAUCUCCUUUUCCUCGUCUCUGUUACUGGAGGGCGCCGGCGUCGAUUUUCCGGGAGGUCGAUGAGGAGGCAGCAGACCGGAGGAGCCCGGCGAGCAGGUCAUCGAGGGAGCGGGAGCAGCAUCCCCGCCGUCUCCUCCCCCUAUUUCUCCUUCGAGCUGGAGCUGGUUCGACCAAUCUCCGCAGCCCCGUCGAGGAACUCUGCCACGGAGCUCAUGCCAGAUGCCGACCUGCUCUAGUCAGCCAUCGGUGGCGCAGUCGUGUGGUACGCCGGCGCUGACGAAGCUGGGUUCGACCGGAAGGACCCACUGGGAGCGCGCGCGGACGCGCGCCUGCUGCUCGCCUGUAUCCGUAUCUGCCUCCGGCAUCCAAGGUAGCGAGUCUCCAGUCAAUCGAUUUGAGCUUUGUUCCCCAGCAGGCAGAUCCAAAGUACUUGACGUGGUUUGUGUGUGAUAUUGGUCUGUUAUAAACGUGUGAUGUUGAUGCAAAUUUUGCUUCCAGUCCUUUCGAUGCUUGACUGAACAUACAUUAUCUUGAUUGAUUGAUAUAUGUUGUACAAAUUGAUGCAUAAUUACUUAAUUAUUGUGUA